CAAGGACAGGUUGAGCCGACCCAAACACGGGCUGAAGCAUAACGGCUAGUUCUGCAGAUGUACUUUUUGUCCUUCCCAAAGUCAGUAACGGCUAGUUUUUGAAUUCUAACCAUUGGGGCUUGUCCAAUGGAUGUAGGAGACUAUUUAAAGUGGCACUAUUCAUCAGAUAGAACAACUUUUGAAAGGAAUAUCAAAGAGUACACAAGAAAAUAAAAGUGCCCUAAUCUUCUUCAUCCAAGUGCUUCAUUCAAGAAUCAAAGAAAGGGGUUGAGCAGAUUCAAAGAGUCAUCAAGAGCUCCAUCCUCCCUUGUAGAGUGAAGCAUCCU
rnacentral:lncRNA from 1 species